GACGAACGCUGGCGGCGUGCCUAAUACAUGCAAGUCGAACGCUUCUUUCCUCCCGAGUGCUUGCACUCAAUUGGAAAGAGGAGUGGCGGACGGGUGAGUAACACGUGGGUAACCUACCCAUCAGAGGGGGAUAACACUUGGAAACAGGUGCUAAUACCGCAUAACAGUUUAUGCCGCAUGGCAUAAGAGUGAAAGGCGCUUUCGGGUGUCGCUGAUGGAUGGACCCGCGGUGCAUUAGCUAGUUGGUGAGGUAACGGCUCACCAAGGCCACGAUGCAUAGCCGACCUGAGAGGGUGAUCGGCCACACUGGGACUGAGACACGGCCCAGACUCCUACGGGGGGCAGCAGUAGGGAAUCUUCGGCAAUGGACGAAAGUCUGACCGAGCAACGCCGCGUGAGUGAAGAAGGUUUUCGGAUCGUAAAACUCUGUUGUUAGAGAAGAACAAGGACGUUAGUAACUGAACGUCCCCUGACGGUAUCUAACCAGAAAGACACGGCUAACUACGUG
rnacentral:rRNA from 1 species